CAUAGACCCCCAUAGAGACCCCAUGGACCCCCAUAGACUCCCCAUAGGGACCCCAAAGACCCCCAUAGGGACCCCAUAGACCCCCAUAGAGCCCCCAUAGACCCCAUAUCUCCCUGCCCCUUUACCCCCCCCACUUGUAGGGCCGGGGAUGGGCGCCCCAUUGGCGGUGGUGGGACAUAGGGACCCAUAGGGACCCCAUAGAGCCCCAUAGAGACCCCAUAGAGCCCCAUAGAGUCCUCAUAGACCCCCAUAGAGUCCCCAUAGACCCCCAUAGACCCCCAUAGACCCCCAUGGUGACCCCAUAGACCCUCAUAGAUCCCCAUAGGGACCCCAUAGAGCCUCAUGGAGCCCCCAUAGACCCCCAUAGACCCCCAUAGAGUCCCCAUAGAGCCCCAUAGAGCCCCUAUAGACCCUCACAGAGCCCCAUAGAGACCCCAUAGACCCCCAUAGGGACCCCUUAGAGCCCCUUGGAGCCCCCAUAGACCCCCAUGGAGACGCCAUAGACCCCCAUAGAGAUCCCAUCGACCCCCAUAGAGCCUCAUAGACCCCCAUAGA
rnacentral:lncRNA from 1 species